AGGUCAUUACCAAGGCUUUUAGAAUGCAGUUUGAUUUGCUGUGGACUUGACGGUAAUAAAAACCUCCCACUAGGUUUUCUCUUUGCGACCUUGCUAGCAGUCAACCAGCUGGGAACAUUU
ensembl:snoRNA small nucleolar RNA SNORA32